AGUCUGGAGGACUCUCAGCGCUGAUCAACGGUAAGCAACUUUUCACUCUCCAUCAGCAAACGCCGGGCUAAUUGUCAGAGUGUGAAUGGGCCAUAA